rnacentral:rRNA from 1 species
AUUGAACGCUGGCGGCAUGCUUUACACAUGCAAGUCGAACGGCAGCGCGGGCUUCGGCCUGGCGGCGAGUGGCGAACGGGUGAGUAAUGCAUCGGAACGUGCCCAGUAGUGGGGGAUAGCCCGGCGAAAGCCGGAUUAAUACCGCAUACGACCUGAGGGUGAAAGCGGGGGACCGAAAGGCCUCGCGCUAUUGGAGCGGCCGAUGUCGGAUUAGCUAGUUGGUGGGGUAAAGGCUUACCAAGGCGACGAUCCGUAGCCGGUCUGAGAGGACGACCAGCCACACUGGGACUGAGAAACGGCCCAGACUCCUACGGGAGGCAGCAGUGGGGAAUUUUGGACAAUGGGGGCAACCCUGAUCCAGCCAUGCCGCGUGCGGGAAGAAGGCCUUCGGGUUGUAAACCGCUUUUGUUCGGGAAGAAAUACUCUGGGCUAAUACCCCGGGGGGAUGACGGUACCGGAAGAAUAAGCACCGGCUAACUACGUG